rnacentral:rRNA from 1 species
AGCGAACGCUGGCGGCAGGCCUAACACAUGCAAGUCGAACGAAGUCUUCGGACUUAGUGGCGGACGGGUGAGUAACACGUGGGAACGUGCCUUUAGGUUCGGAAUAACUCAGGGAAACUUGUGCUAAUACCGAAUAUGCCCUUCGGGGGAAAGAUUUAUCGCCUUUAGAGCGGCCCGCGUCUGAUUAGCUAGUUGGUGAGGUAAAGGCUCACCAAGGCUACGAUCAGUAGCUGGUCUGAGAGGAUGACCAGCCACAUUGGGACUGAGACACGGCCCAAACUCCUACGGGAGGCAGCAGUGGGGAAUCUUGCGCAAUGGGCGAAAGCCUGACGCAGCCAUGCCGCGUGGAUGAUGAAGGUCUUAGGAUCGUAAAAUCCUUUCACCGGUGAAGAUAAUGACUGUAGCCGGAGAAGAAGCCCCGGCUAACUUCGUGCCAGCAGCCGCGGUAACAC